GUUAGCUGAAGUAAUAGCCUAUUCAAGUGGAACUACCUUAAGAGAAUGCCUUGACUGAAACCCACAAAAAAGAACUAGUUCCUUCACUGCUCUGCAGGGGGAUGGAGCAGACAGCUGGAAAACCUCAGAAGCAAAAUUAAAGAACCAGGAAUUUGUGGUGGGAUAUACAAAGUCAAGCAAUUCACAGUAAGCUUUGGGUUAGAGGAAAAGAAAAAAAAAAAAAAAAAAAAAAAAAAAAAAAAAAAAAAAAAAAGGAGAAAUGCAGGAUUUUAUAGAUGAGGUUUUGAUUAACAGUGGGACUAACCAAGCUCAAAAGAAGUUAGUCUGGAUGCAGUUCAGAAGCACCACAGUCGCACUUAGCCAACUGGUCAGAUUGAUAGGCAGCUCCAGGGAGUGAUUCAGCCCAACUAAGAUCUGAUUCACCCUCUGGAAGUGCCAAGCUUUUGAUUUAAAUCUUAGGUACAACUGACUCACUUCCCUGAAGGUGCCUUUCUCCAAAGGCUGUAGAGGACCCACAGCACAUCAGGGGCUAAAAUCCAGCUGGAAGAACUGGGUCUGGCCAUGACUGUUUCAUUGCCACCUGCCUGCCCUGAAGAGCUUAGUGAGAAGCCAUGUCACCCACGUGAUGGGACUCUGGGAAAGGAUAUGCAUAGGCGCCAAACAAGAGAAAAUGGUUCUUUUCCAUGAGAACCAGAUGGAGCCUGCGGCACACUUGUCCUCAAGAAACCAGAGCAAGGAGGGGAAGGUGCCCAGAAUCCACAUCACCUGGGACUGGAGAUUCAAAUUUUCCUCUGCCUUGUUCGUCUGUCUGGCUACAUCUAAAGUCCAGCCACAGAUUUAAGAAGAGCAUCUCUGCUGAACUACAUGGCUCAGACUACACAUUGUUUAGAAAGAAGAGCAAGAAACAAGUGGAAUAUGUAGGUUAUAUCCACCUGCCACUGUAA
rnacentral:lncRNA from 1 species